AAUGCUGACAUAAGUAACGAUAAAGCGGGUGAAAAGCCCGCUCGCCGGAAGACCAAGGGUUCCUGUCCAACGUUAAUCGGGGCAGGGUGAGUCGACCCCUAAGGCGAGGCCGAAAGGCGUAGUCGAUGGGAAACGGGUUAAUAUUCCCGUACUUGGUGUUACUGCGAAGGGGGGACGGAGAAGGCUAUGUUGGCCGGGCGACGGUUGUCCCGGUUUAAGCGUGUAGGUGUGUGUUCCAGGUAAAUCCGGUUCACUUUAACACUGAGGCGUGACGACGAGGCACUACGGUGCUGAAGCAACAAAUGCCCUGCUUCCAGGAAAAGCCUCUAAGCAUCAGGUAACAUCAAAUCGUACCCCAAACCGACACAGGUGGUCAGGUAGAGAAUACCAAGGCGCUUGAGAGAACUCGGGUGAAGGAACUAGGCAAAAUGGUGCCGUAACUUCGGGAGAAGGCACGCUGACACGUAGGUGAAGUGAUUUACUCAUGGAGCUGAAGUCAGUCGAAGAUACCAGCUGGCUGCAACUGUUUAUUAAAAACACAGCACUGUGCAAACACGAAAGUGGACGUAUACGGUGUGACGCCUGCCCGGUGCCGGAAGGUUAAUUGAUGGGGUCAGCGCAAGCGAAGCUCCUGAUCGAAGCCCCGGUAAACGGCGGCCGUAACUAUAACGGUCCUAAGGUAGCGAAAUUCCUUGUCGGGUAAGUUCCGACCUGCACGAAUGGCGUAAUGAUGGCCAGGCUGUCUCCACCCGAGACUCAGUGAAAUUGAACUCGCUGUGAAGAUGCAGUGUACCCGCGGCAAGACGGAAAGACCCCGUGAACCUUUACUAUAGCUUGACACUGAACAUUGAGCCUUGAUGUGUAGGAUAGGUGGGAGGCUUUGAAGUGUGGACGCCAGUCUGCAUGGAGCCGACCUUGAAAUACCACCCUUUAAUGUUUGAUGUUCUAACGUGGACCCGUAAUCCGGGUUGCGGACAGUGUCUGGUGGGUAGUUUGACUGGGGCGGUCUCCUCCUAAAGAGUAACGGAGGAGCACGAAGGUUGGCUAAUCCUGGUCGGACAUCAGGAGGUUAGUGCAAUGGCAUAAGCCAGCUUGACUGCGAGCGUGACGGCGCGAGCAGGUGCGAAAGCAGGUCAUAGUGAUCCGGUGGUUCUGAAUGGAAGGGCCAUCGCUCAACGGAUAAAAGGUACUCCGGGGAUAACAGGCUGAUACCGCCCAAGAGUUCAUAUCGACGGCGGUGUUUGGCACCUCGAUGUCGGCUCAUCACAUCCUGGGGCUGAAGUAGGUCCCAAGGGUAUGGCUGUUCGCCAUUUAAAGUGGUACGCGAGCUGGGUUUAGAACGUCGUGAGACAGUUCGGUCCCUAUCUGCCGUGGGCGCUGGAGAACUGAGGGGGGCUGCUCCUAGUACGAGAGGACCGGAGUGGACGCAUCACUGGUGUUCGGGUUGUCAUGCCAAUGGCACUGCCCGGUAGCUAAAUGCGGAAGAGAUAAGUGCUGAAAGCAUCUAAGCACGAAACUUGCCCCGA
rnacentral:rRNA from 1 species